rnacentral:rRNA from 1 species
UAAGCUUAGUUGCCAUCAUUAAGUUGGGCACUCUAAGUUGACUGCCGGUGACAAACCGGAGGAAGGUGGGGAUGACGUCAAAUCAUCAUGCCCCUUAUGAUUUGGGCUACACACGUGCUACAAUGGACAAUACAAAGGGCAGCGAAACCGCGAGGUCAAGCAAAUCCCAUAAAGUUGUUCUCAGUUCGGAUUGUAGUCUGCAACUCGACUACAUGAAGCUGGAAUCGCUAGUAAUCGUAGAUCAGCAUGCUACGGUGAAUACGUUCCCGGGUCUUGUACACACCGCCCGUCACACCACGAGAGUUUGUAACACCCGAAGCCGGUGGAGUAACCUUUUAGGAGCUAGCCGUCGAAGGUGGGACAAAUGAUUGGGGUGAAGUCGUAACAAGGUAGCCGUAUCGGAAGGUGCGGCUGGAUCACCUCCUUUCUAAGGA